UGAGUGGGAAGAGGGUUCAAGGCAGCAGAAGCAGCGAGUGCAAAGGCCCUGGGGCAUGUCUGAGGACCAGGAAGGAGGCCAGUGUGGCUGCAGGAGACCAAGUGAGCAGACCAGGGCUCCAGUCAGGAUUCAAAGCGAGAUGUGUGGCACAUGCCUGUGUCCUGCCUUGCCCUCUCCGGCCUCCUCUUCAAGCCCUUGUCACUAAAACAUGAG